CACACUGUAAACGAUGAUUACUAGGUGUGGGGGGUCUGACCCCCUCUGUGCCGCAGUUAACGCAAUAAGUAAUCCACCUGGGGAGUACGAUCGCAAGGUUGAAACUCAAAGGAAUUGACGGGGGCCCGCACAAGCAGUGGAUUAUGUGGAUUAAUUCGAAGCAACGCGAAGAACCUUACCAGGUCUUGACAUCGAGUGACGAACUAAGAGAUUAGUUUUUCCUUCGGGACACGAAGACAGGUGG
rnacentral:rRNA from 1 species